ACCCGCUGAACUUAAGCAUAUCAAUAAGCGGAGGAAAAGAAACCAACAGGGAUUGCCUCAGUAACGGCGAGUGAAGCGGCAACAGCUCAAAUUUGAAAUCUGGCCCCAGGCCCGAGUUGUAAUUUGCAGAGGAUGCUUUUGGCAAGGUGUCUUCCGAGUUCCCUGGAACGGGACGCCAUAGAGGGUGAGAGCCCCGUCUGGUCGGACACCGAGCCUCUGUAAAGCUCCUUCGACGAGUCGAGUAGUUUGGGAAUGCUGCUCAAAAUGGGAGGUAUAUGUCUUCUAAAGCUAAAUACCGGCCAGAGACCGAUAGCGCACAAGUAGAGUGAUCGAAAGAUGAAAAGCACUUUGAAAAGAGAGUUAAAUAGCACGUGAAAUUGUUGAAAGGGAAGCGUUUAUGACCAGACUUGGCCCGGUUGAUCAUCCAGUGUUCUCACUGGUGCACUCUGCCGGUCCAGGCCAGCAUCAGUUCGUCGCGGGGGAUAAAGGUUUCGGGAAUGUAGCUCUCUUCGGGGAGUGUGAUAGCCCGUUGCGUAAUACCCUGCGGUGGACUGAGGUCCGCGCUCUGCAAGGAUGCUGGCGUAAUGGUCAUCAACGACCCGUCUUGAAACACGGACCAAGGAG
rnacentral:rRNA from 1 species